rnacentral:lncRNA from 1 species
UCCUUAGUUAAUUCUGAUUGUUUCCAUUUUUCAUAUUCAACAUUAGUAACUUCUUUUCACAAUCUUUUCACAUUCUUCACCGUACUCUAUAUAAGUGUACAAUAAGAUGUCUUUGUUCCAUUAUCCUUUGUAAAUUCUUACGGCAAGAAAUUUCUUUUUUCCCAAAAGAGUAUACUUCACUCACCAGUAUUUGUAAACAGGUAUAUAUGUUUCAAUUAUUUUAUGGUGGAAAUAUUGACUUCUCUUCCGUCCUUUUUGGAUCAUAGUUAGCAACCUGUUAUUCUUGAUUAUGUGAUUUCUUUAAAAGUUGUAAAGUUAAACAUAGUAUUAGUGUGAAUAUUGUCAUGUUAUAUUCAACUAGCUUAUGAUGCAAUUGUAGACUUUGCUAGGUCCUUUUUGGAUCAUAGCUAACUGAUUGCUGUCAUACUUAGCGCAGAAUAUGUUUGUUGCGAAUUAUUUAGCAUUAAUAUUGUCAAUGUUAUAUGCAAUUAUCUUGUGUUGCAAGUGUAGACUUCCCUUAAGUACUUUUUGGAUCAUAGCUAAUUUAACAUUGUAGUACUUAGCGCAUAAAAUGUUUGUUGCAAAUUAUUUGGUAUUGUCACAACAAAAUUCUUAUUACGUUCCAUAUAGCCUUAAAGCAAUCACUCCAUUUAGAAAAUACAUCAAAUGAUUUGUUUGUCUUAAUUCUAAUGCCUUAUUAUUUAGUAUGAGCGUUAAAUUCCUUAUCUACAUUAAACUUAAUUUUGAUGUUAUUAUCCUUCUAAUAGGUUUUUGGUAAUUACGUUUGAACUUUAUUAAGAUAUUCACAUAUGUUGUCAGCUAAAGUUGUUCGCUUUUCCAAUCAAACCACAAGAACAUCCUUAAGGUUCCAAAGCAGCGAUUUCACUUUGUGCUUUUAACUUUUAAUAAUUACUUUUCAUCUUCACCGGUAAGAAAGGAACUUCAAAUUGUGAGUUUGGGGCUUACUUCUGCAUCUAAUACUUUACAGGGAAGUAGAUACUGUGGAUUCUACCUUUGUUUCAUAAGCUAAAAAGAAGUAACAUUAAGUAUAAAAAUGUUUGAUGAGUGAAUAAUAUAAUCAGAUAAUGUUUAGUUGAAUCCGUAUUUGCUAAAGAUUUCCUUGCUUACUUUGUUGUUGAUGCAAGCUAAUUAUUCUCCUUCUCAACAAUUUAAUUUAUUUACUUUUUGUACAAUGCGCUGAAUGUUUAUCAAUGCCAAAUUUUUGACUCAUGACAUCCAUGAAAGUGGACUUUACGUUACUAAGCUUUUCUGUGUUCCUAAGACUUAGUUUGUGUUUUAAUCCUUUUAACUGAUUUCUUGGUUACUACAUCACAAAAUUGGUAACAAUUUUAUACUUUGUCAUUAUCUUAAAACAUUAUUAAGAUAUUCAUAUAUGUUGCUAGCUGAAGUUGGUCGCUUUUUCAAUCAAACCACAAGAAUCAAUAGCUUCUUUGAAACAUAUUAGAUUUGAGAACAUUCUUUUUGAGAAGAAUAAUAAUAUUUGAUCUUGCAGAUACCAUUUCUUCUUUUUCCCUAAAGCUGAAACAGUAGUGGAACACAUUAAAAUUGUAAAUUUAACAGGCAAGUUUAUUUUCCCCUAUUGUCACUUCCUAUGAGUAUUACACAAUAUAUUAUUCUUUAUGCACAUUUUUAUACUUAUUUUCUUUUCACACUCUUGGGACGAAGUGAUGUUGAUUUUUUGGCAGUCAUAUUUGCCAAGUGUCUUCAUCCUUUUGCUAAACAAUUAUACUUUGCCUAGAGCCUAGAUGACCUGAUUAUUUGAGGAUUAAUAGAAUAGUUUAGCUAAUUAAUAUUUUGGCUUCCUUUUCUUUCUUUUUUCUUCAUUAUUUCUUGUUUUUUAAAUGAUUUUCCCCAUGUUUUGUCUGCUUCCUUCAGUGGCAUAUUUCACUUAAAAAUUUUGAAGUAAUCUUUUUUGUUUUUCUUUAUCAAGAAUUCAUGUACAAAAUAGUUAUUGAUUCAUCUUGAUUAGUGACUAAGCUACCCAAUUAAAAAAGUGUAUUAUGCCACUUAUUAUUUGGUCUAUUUUAACUCAUUUUUUUUUUACUAUGUGAGUUUAAGAAUAGAUAAAGUAUUAGAUUACAUGGUGCUUAAUGAAUGUUAAAUUUGAAAUAUGAUUGUCGUGCUAUAUUUAUACAAUUAUAAAUUAUAUAAUUCAAUUCUUUUGUCAAAUUCACAGAUGAAAGGAGUCAUAAUCUUGAAUCAAGUAAAGGGUUCUUGUACGUGCAACAAUGAUAUCAAUAAAACUUUUUGAUAUUAGUAAUUAUUAAAUAUCUCUAUUACAAAUAGCUAUUUUUUUUUUGCAGCUUUACACCAUGAAAUGAAUUAUGAUUUACUAGCCACCCUAAGGAAGACCUAUGUUGAUCGAAUUUCUAUACAACUUCUACAAGUUACAACUUUCACCUGACAACAGCUUCUUGAUAUGUAUGCGACUGUAAAACUAAGAAGGAUUCAAUUUCUUAAAGACAAAGCAGGAACUUCUAGAUGUGAAGUAUCCACAACUAUAGUCGACGUUGCUCAUAUUCAAAUGUAAACUACAUGUUGUCCAAAUAUAAAGAGGCAAUGAAAAUAUCAAAUUGAAUAUUUGGUAUGACAAUCAUAUUUAUAUAGCUAUAUUUGUUGUUUAAAUAAUAUCAAAUCCUGUUAUAUUCAAUAAUCAAUUAAGG